GACGAACGCUGGCGGCGUGCUUAACACAUGCAAGUCGAACGGAAAGGCCCUGCUUUUGUGGGGUUCUCGAGUGGCGAACGUGUGUGUAACACGUGAGUAACCUGCCCUUGACUUUGGGAUAACUUCAGGAAACUGGUGCUAAUACCGGAUAGGAUCUCCUGCUGCAUGUUGUGGGUUGGAAAGUUUCGGCGUUUGGGGAUGGACUCGCGGCUUAUCAGCUUGUUGGUGGGGUAGUGGCUUACCAAGGCUUUGACGGGUAGCCGGCCUGGGAGGGUGACAGGGAAAAGAGGGAGUGAGAUACGGACAAGAGGGAAAGGGGAGGAAGGAGGGGAGAAAAGAGAAAAAAGGGGGGAAGAGAGAUGGAGCAACGAGGCGGGGGGGAAGAAGGAAUUGGGGUUGAAAAAGAUUUAGAAUGAGAAGAAGAGUGAGUGACGGUAAUGGGUAAAGAAGCAACGGCUAACUACGUG
rnacentral:rRNA from 1 species